rnacentral:rRNA from 1 species
AGUGAACGCUGGCGGCAGGCCUAACACAUGCAAGUCGAGCGGCAGCGGGUCCCCGCGAGGGAGUGCCGGCGAGCGGCGGACGGGUGAGGAACACAUCGGAAUCUGCCUGGUUGUGGGGGAGUAACGUAGGGAAACUUACGCUAAUACCGCAUGCGACCCUGAGUCGACGGACUUGGGGUGAAAGUGAGGGACCUUCGGCCUCACGCGACCAGAUGAGCCGAUGUCGG